AGAAAAAGUACGUGAAAUUCAGGAGAAACUUGAAGCUUUCAUUGAAGCCCUUCACAAAGAGAAAUAGAGCAGAUCAUCUUGUUUCUGGACAGUCAUGCCCUUACAGAAGAACAUGCACUGAUUAAAUACAACAUAAUUUUUGCUCUUUGCCCUUCGUAAAUGACCCUGCUUCUCAUCCUCUCUUUUUUUAAUGUAUCCUGCUUCAGCUUUCAAUCUUCUCACACACAAGCACACACGCACACUUCCCCCUUAAAAACAGUGAAAGUAAGCAAAGUGGUUUACAUUUGCUGCAUAUUUAAUCACUGUUGGAGAACAAGCACUUGCGCAACUAGAGAAUGGUACGUGUCAGAGUGCCAUGCUUUAUUCUUUCUUCCUCCAGCGCUUAAAAGCCACCAAUGUGUUCACCAGACAUGUUUUCCCGAGAAUCCAGUCAGACAGACAUGCACAUACAUCAUCUCCCAAUCCCUCGUUCCCAAUAAAAUACUUUGUCCGGGUCUCUCUUUCCCCUGACUGUCUUUAUUAAUUAAGGUGAUGUUUAAAAAAUGUAUUGAUUGACCUUGCUAUGAGUAGAGAAAAUAUUCAAAAAUGUCUUGUCACCAAUUGCCGCCUUCAUUCAUAUUUUGGAGCUGUGAUUUCACCACAUUUAUACAACAUCUCUCUUAUGACAUAUUCACAGUUAGUGCAAUCACAGUUUAAAUUAUACGUCUUAACAUCUUAUCAGUAGACCACCAUCUAAAUCCUUUGUAAUUAUUUUGUAGAAUCUGCAAUCGAUAUAUGCAGUUGUUUGUACAGUAGAUCUCAUCUGCACCUCAUUUGCUUGUAGUCACACUUAGCUCAGUUGAAUAUACUCAAGAAACAGCUAUGAGGCUUGGUCUUGAAGAUGCAGAACAUUUCUUUAUAAGGAGACCAGAAUACACCAUCUGUUCACACAGGUGGAUGAAAAUGCAUUGGCAUAUCCUGUUUGUUACUUUGGCCCUGCACACCUUUUCACUUUAUUUUGCUUUAUUUUAUGACUGUUUACUUUGAGAGAUUCAAAUGGUUCUGAGUUUCAUCUGUCUUCUUCAGCUUUAGUGCACUUUUAAUUAUUUGCUUGCACAUUUGAUAUUUCGCGCCCUAGAAUUUGUGUGGUCUGAUUAUCCACAUUACACAUGUCCUGAUAAUUUUGAGUGUAAGGGACACCACACCUUUGUUCCUGGUUGCUCAUAAAUGUAAAUGGGUAAAUAUACAUGUUCUUGUAAAGUAUCUAAGGUCAUUGAAAUCAUGGAUCUGAGUGUGGUGCUUGUAACAGAAUAUCUGUCGGUUGAUUUAAGAAUGUUUCCACUUUUUGUUGUAGAUUGUAAUGUUUGCAUGUUGUACCCCAUCAGAUGUGGUUUAUUUAUUAAAUUGGUGUUUAAAAAAAAA